rnacentral:tRNA from 1 species
AGCUUGGUAGAGCACCUGGUUUGGGACCAGGGGGUCGCAGGUUCGAAUCCUGUU